GCAUUCCUUAAUAUUGCAUUCCAGUAGAAGUAACUAUUCUUUGUAAUGUGAGAUAAGUUUCUUAAGACUUGUAAGAAAAAUUACCAGCUUUAGGGACCACAUGAUGUGUUAUUUUUUAGCUCAUCUGGCCUGAAGGGCCAAGUGAGCUAUUCUCAUCACUUGGCGUCUGGUGUCCAUCGUUGUCCCUUGUUGGGGUCAUUAAAUUUUUACAUUUUGAACUUCUUCUAGAGAACUACUGAGUGAAGUAGAACUAAACAUGAAGUGCUGACCAAGUGUUGUUACUUUGUAGCCGAUCCAUCAUCCAAGAUGGCCACCAGCGGUGGACUUAGUUUAACAUAGGACCCUAUAAGAAAUACAAACAAAUGUCUCCUUUUAGAGAACCUUUGAAUGGAAUGAAACCAAACAUAGCAUGAAUGUUCCUUAUGAGUUGCUAACCAAGUGUUGUUACUUUGUAGCCAAUCCAUCAUCCAAGAUUGCCCCCAGUGGGGGACUAAGUUUAACAUAGGACCCUAUAAGAAAUUUGUACAAGUGUUUUCUUCUAGAGAACCACUAAAUUGAAUGAAACUAAACAUGGCAUGAAUGUUCCUUAUAAUGGGCUGAUGAAAUAUUGCUACUUUGUUGCUGAUUUACUGUUCAAGAUCGCCACCAGGAUUUAUUAUUCAAUUGAGGGACCAUUAUUAAACCAAAUUUGGCCUCAAUCAUUAUUUAAGUAUUUGUUAUGAUUUUUAUCUUUUUUUAUAUGAUUUCAAAAACCAAAGUAGGAUCAGGUGAGCGACACAGGCUCUUAAGAUCCCCUAGUCACUAUUUUUAUUCAUGACUUUAAAAUACCUCACUAUAUAUAGUAAUUUAUUUUGCAAUAAUGCACUGGUCAGUUUUUGGGGCAUACUUUGCCCUAUAAUUGUUUUACUUUUUUAUAAAUUGUGACUUGGAUGGAGAGUUGUCUCAUUGGCAGUCAUACCACAUCUUCUUUAAAGAUCUAUGUUAUUAGUUUAAAAAGGUGUUUCUCACUUUGAAAUUAAAAUAAGUUUUUUUACCAGUAUUGGUUAUGAUUAUAUAUAAGAAAAAGAGGCACUGCCAUUUUAUUUGAAUUUAAUUUAAAUUUGUUAUUUGAUUAUAUUUUUGAAACUCACGAUUUAGCUUGUAGUAGUACAAACUUCAUGUUUGUUUUCUAGUCCAAAAGUUUGAAGGUCAACAUAAUAGUAUUAAAGAAGAGGGCAUUCUGUGGCAAUAUCAUGUGAUAGUAGUGCUAUGAUAGAUUUUGAAGAGUUUUGGAAAUAAUAUUUAAACUUUAUUUAUUUGUAAAAAAAUGUAAAAAAUCAUGCAUAGAGGACUUAGUUUAGCAUAUAUACAUGCAUAUUUUCAAUAAUUUCCAUGUAACUAGUUGCAUAUGGCUUUACAACACAUAUUCUUAUUUAUAUUUAUUACAUAAUAUUCAGAUUUUGAUAGACAG
rnacentral:lncRNA from 1 species